rnacentral:rRNA from 1 species
GUCCACGCCGUAAACGAUGGGCACUAGGCCCUUGGGGGAGCGACCCCCUGAGGACCGGCGCAAACGCAUUAAGUGCCCCGCCUGGGGAGUACGGCCGCAAGGCUGAAACUCAAAGGAAUUGACGGGGGCCCGCACAAGCGGUGGAGCAUGUGGUUUAAUUCGACGCAACGCGAAGAACCUUACCUGGGCUUGACAUGGACGGGAAUGAUUGGGGAAACCUGGUCAGCUCUUCGGAGCUCGUUCACAGGUGCUGCAUGGCUGUCGU